rnacentral:rRNA from 1 species
AUUGAACGCUGGCGGCAGGCCUAACACAUGCCAGUCGAGCGGAUGAAGGGAGCUUGCUCCUGGAUUCAGCGGCGGACGGGUGAGAAAUGCCUAGGAAUCUGCCUGGUAGUGGGGGAUAACGUCCGGAAACGGGCGCUAAUACCGCAUACGUCCUGUGGGAGAAAGUGGGGGAUCUUCGGACCUCACGCUAUCAGAUGAGCCUAGGUCGGAUUAGAUAGUUGGUGGGGUAAAGGCCUACCAAGGCGACGAUCCGUAACUGGUCUGAGAGGAUGAUCAGUCACACUGGAACUGAGACUCGGCCCAGACUCCUACGGUAGGCAGCAGUGGGGAAUAUUGCGCGAUGGGCCAAUGCCUGAUCUAGCCAUGCCGCGUGUGUGCAGAAGGUCUUCUGAUUGUAGAGCACUUUAAGUUGUGAGGAAGGGCAGUAAGUUAAUACCUUGCUGUUUUGACGUUACCAGCAGAAUAAGCACCGGCUAACUUCGUG